rnacentral:rRNA from 1 species
GUAUAAGAGACAGCAGCAGCCGCGGGAAUACGUAGGUGGCAAGCGUUGUCCGGAUUUACUGGGCGUAAAGGGAGCGUAGGCGGAUUUUUAAGUCAGGGGUGAAAUCCCAAGGCUCAACCUUGGAACUGCCUUUGAUACUGGAGAUCUUGAGUCCGGGAGAGGUGAGUGGAACUGCGAGUGUAGAGGUGAAAUUCGUAGAUAUUCGCAAGAACACCAGUGGCGAAGGCGGCUCACUGGCCCGGAACUGACGCUGAGGCUCGACAGCGUGGGGAGCAAACAGGAUUAGAUACCCGAGUAGUCCCUGUCUCUUAUAC